AACGAACGCUGGCGGCAGGCCUAACACAUGCAAGUCGAGCGAGGACUUCGGUUCUAGCGGCGGACGGGUGAGUAACGCGUGGGAAUGUGCCCUUCUCUACGGAAUAGCCCUGGGAAACUGGGAGUAAUACCGGAUACGCCCUUUUGGGGAAGGGUUUAUCGGAGAAGGAUCAGCCGGCGUUGGAUUAGGUAGUUGGUGGGGUAAUGGCCUACCAAGCCGACGAUCCAUAGCUGGUUUGAGAGGAUGAUCAGCCACACUGGGACUGGGACACGGCCCGGACUGGUGGGGGAGGGGGGAGUGGGGGAUCGUGGGGGGGGGGGGGGGGGGGGAGGGAGGCAGGCGGGGGGAGGGGUGGAGGGGGGGGGGUUGGGGAGCGGGUUGAGCGGGGGAGAUAAUGACGGUACCAGCAGAAGAAGCCCCGGCUAACUCCGUG
rnacentral:rRNA from 1 species